rnacentral:rRNA from 1 species
GAUGAACGCUGGCGGCGUGCCUAAUACAUGCAAGUCGAGCGAACAGAUAAGGAGCUUGCUCCUUUGACGUUAGCGGCGGACGGGUGAGUAACACGUGGGUAACCUACCUAUAAGACUGGAAUAACUCCGGGAAACCGGGGCUAAUACCGGAUAACAUUUAGAACCGCAUGGUUCUAAAGUGAAAGAUGGUUUUGCUAUCACUUAUAGAUGGAUCCGCGCCGUAUUAGCUAGUUGGUAAGGUAACGGCAUACCAAGGCAACGAUACGUAGCCGACCUGAGAGGGUGAUCGGCCACACUGGAACUGAGACACGGUCCAGACUCCUACGGGAGGCAGCAGUAGGGAAUCUUCCGCAAUGGGCGAAAGCCUGACGGAGCAACGCCGCGUGAGUGAUGAAGGUCUUCGGAUCGUAAAACUCUGUUAUUAGGGAAGAACAAAUGUGUAAGUAACUGUGCACGUCUUGACGGUACCUAAUCAGAAAGCCACGGCUAACUACGUG